rnacentral:lncRNA from 1 species
GGAAAGAGUCUUUACUUUGAUAUAGAUAUGUGCUUGAAUAUUGUGGUUGAUAUGAGCAGUUGGAUUGCUUGCGAGUAUUUUAGUAAUGCAAUCAUGUGUACAAUUUGACAAAAAACCCAAGCCAAGAUAGAUUGGUAUAUGUAAGUUUUGAAUUAACCACCUUUAACUUCAGAAGACCUAGAUUUUCCAAAUUUUAAGGAUAAAAUUUCAUUUAAGGUGGGGAGAAUGUGUGAUCAUU